UACGGAGGGCUCAACCGUUGUUCGGAUUCAUUGGGCGUAAAGGGUGCGUAGGCGGUCGCGUAAGUCAGGUGUGAAAUCUCAGGGCUCAACCCCGAAACUGCACUUGAUACUGCGUGGCUCGGGUACUGGAGAGGAGACUGGAAUUUACGGUGUAGCAGUGAAAUGCGUAGAUAUCGUAAGGAAGACCAGUGGCGAAGGCGAGUCUCUGGACAGUUACCGACGCUGAGGCACGAAGGUCAGGGGAGCAAACGGG
rnacentral:rRNA from 1 species